rnacentral:rRNA from 1 species
AACGAACGCUGGCGGCAGGCUUAACACAUGCAAGUCGAGCGCCCCGCAAGGGGAGCGGCAGACGGGUGAGUAACACGUGGGAAUCUACCCAUCCCUACGGAACAACUCCGGGAAACUGGAGGUAAUAUCGUAUACGCCCUUUGGGGGAAAGAUUUAUCGGGGAUGGAUGAGCCCGCGUUGGAUUAGCUAGCUGGUGGGGUACAGGCCUACCAAGGCGACGAUCCAUAGCUGGUCUGAGAGGAUGAUCAGCCACAUUGGGACUGAGACACGGCCCACACUCCUACGGGAGGCAGCAGUGGGGAAUAUUGGACAAUGGGCGCAAGCCUGAUCCAGCCAUGCCGCGUGAAUGAUGAAGGCCUUAGGGUUGCAAAGUCCUUCCACCGAUGAAGAUAAUGACGGUAGUCAGAGCAGAAGCCCCGGCUAACUUCGUGCCAGCAGCCGCAGUAA